AUGGUCGAAGGAACCAUUGAGGAUAUCAAGAACGUCAAGUUCCUCCUUCUCUGCUUCCAGGAGAUGUCGGGCCUCAAGAUCAAUUUCGCGAAGAGUGAGGUCAUGGUGAUGGGCUAUUCUAGUAGUUAGAGCCAGAGUAUCGCCAACCGACUUAACUGUCGGUUUGGCACUUUCCCCACGACCUACCUGGGGAUCCCCAUUGGUGACUCUCGGCUCUUCGUCGCGGACCUGAGACCCGCAGUGGGAAAAUUCCGUCACCGCAUUGAGCCCUGGCAGGGUAGAUGGUUGUCUAAGGCGGCUCGAACGAUCCUCAUUAACUCGUCCCUAUCCAUCCUUCUCAUGUUCAUCAUGAGCUUCUACAGCCUCCCUGAGACGCUCCACCAUGAGAUCGGCACGGUCCAGGCAAGAUUCUUAUGGGCAGGCGAGGGGGAUGGGCAUAAAUACCACAUGGUGCGGUGGACCAAAAUCUGCAAGCCAAAGUAGCAGGGCAGUCUUGGCAUCAUGUCCUCCAAGUGGAUGAACAUCGCGCUCCUGACUCGUUGGCUUUGGUGCAUCGCCAAUGGGGACGGCGGCCUCUGGCUCCACAUCAUCCGGAAUAAAUACCUCUAUGGCCAGCCCCUUGCUUUCUGCCAGCGGUUCGGAGGCUCUCAGUUUUGGCAGUCCGUCAUCCAGCUUAUGGCUGUGCUCCGCAUAGGGACCUCCAUCUCGGUUGGUUCUGGCACGGACACCCUAUUCUGGUUCGAUAGGUGGGCUGGCGACUCCCCCUUUGCGGCCCGCUUCCCGGACCUAUUCUCCAUUGCGGUGGACCCUCGGGUCUCAGUUGAGGCGGCCCUUAUUCACUAA
rnacentral:rRNA from 1 species